rnacentral:rRNA from 1 species
GACGAACGCUGGCGGCGUGCUUAACACAUGCAAGUCGAACGGUAAGGCCCCUUCGGGGGUACACGAGUGGCGCACGGGUGAGUAACACGUGCGCAACCUGCCCUUGACUCUGGAAUAACAGUUGGAAACAGCUGCUAAUACUGGAUAUUCAUCGUCUCCUUCCUGGGGGGUGGUGGAAAGCUCCGGCGGUCAGGGAUGGGCUCGCGGCCUAUCAGCUUGUUGGUGAGGUAAUGGCUCACCAAGGCUUCGACGGGUAGCCGGCCUGAGAGGGCGACCGGCCACACUGGGACUGAGAUACGGCCCAGACUCCUACGGGAGGCAGCAGUGGGGAAUAUUGCACAAUGGGCGCAAGCCUGAUGCAGCAACGCCGCGUGCGGGAUGACGGCCUUCGGGUUGUAAACCGCUUUCAGUAGGGACGAAGGGUGACUGACGGUACCUACAGAAGAAGGACCGGCUAACUACGUG